rnacentral:rRNA from 1 species
AACGUCUCUCGGCAACGGAUAUCUAGGCUCUCGCAUCGAUGAAGAACGUAGCGAAAUGCGAUACUUGGUGUGAAUUGCAGAAUCCCGUGAACCAUCGAGUCUUUGAACGCAAGUUGCGCCCGAGGCCUUUAGGCCGAGGGCACGUCAGCCUGGGCGUCACGC